rnacentral:rRNA from 1 species
GACGAACGCUGGCGGCGUGCUUAACACAUGCAAGUCGAACGGAAAGGCCCUGCUUUUGUGGGGUGCUCGAGUGGCGAACGGGUGAGUAACACGUGAGUAACCUGCCCUUGACUUUGGGAUAACUUCAGGAAACUGGGGCUAAUACCGGAUAGGAGCUCCUGCUGCAUGGUGGGGGUUGGAAAGUUUCGGCGGUUGGGGAUGGACUCGCGGCUUAUCAGCUUGUUGGUGGGGUAGUGGCUUACCCAGGCUUUGACGGGUAGCCGGCCUGAGCGGGUGACCGGCCACAUUGGGACUGAGAUACGGCCCAGACUCCUACGGGAGGCAGCGGUGGGGAAUAUUGCGCAAUGGGCGGAAGCCUGAUGCAGCGACGCCGCGUGCGGGAUGACGGCCUUCGGGUUGUAAACCGCUUUCGCCUGUGACGAAGCGUGAGUGACGGUAAUGGGUAAAGAAGCACCGGCUAACUACGUG